AACGAACGCUGGCGGCAGGCCUAACACAUGCAAGUCGAGCGCCCAGCAAUGGGAGCGGCAGACGGGUGAGUAACGCGUGGGAACCUUCCCAAUGGUACGGAAUAGCUCAGGGAAACUUGAGGUAAUACCGCAUAAGCCCGAAAGGGAAGAUUUAUCGCCAUUGGAUGGGCCCGCGUAGGAUUAGCUAGUUGGUGAGGUAAUGGCUCACCAAGGCGACGAUCCUUAGCUGGUUUGAGAGAAUGACCAGCCACACUGGGACUGAGACACGGCCCAGACUCCUACGGGAGGCAGCAGUGGGGAAUCUUGGACAAUGGGCGGCAAGCCUGAUCCAGCCAUGCCGCGUGAGUGACGAAGGUCUUCGGAUUGUAAAGCUCUUUCGGGAGGGAAGAUGGAAUGGGGUAACCCAAUUCGGACGGUACCUCCAGAAGCAGCCACGGCUAACUUCGUGCCA
rnacentral:rRNA from 1 species